CACGUAGGGGCCAAGCGUUGUCCGGAUUCAUUGGGCGUAAAGAGCUCGUAGGCGGUUCAGUCAGUCGGGUGUGAAAGCCCCGGGCUCAACCUGGGAAUUGCAUUCGAGACUGAAUAGCUAGGGUACGGUAGAGGGAAGUGGAAUUUCCGGUGUAGCGGUGAAAUGCGUAGAUAUCGGAAGGAACAUCAGUGGCGAAAGCGACUUCCUGGACCAGUACCGACGUUCAGGCACGAAAGCGUGGGGAGCAAACAGG
rnacentral:rRNA from 1 species